rnacentral:rRNA from 1 species
GAUGAACGCUGGCGGCGUGCCUAAUACAUGCAAGUCGAGCGAACAGACGAGGAGCUUGCUCCUCUGACGUUAGCGGCGGACGGGUGAGUAACACGUGGAUAACCUACCUAUAAGACUGGGAUAACUUCGGGAAAUCGGAGCUAAUACCGGAUAAUAUAUUGAACCGCAUGGUUCAAUAGUGAAAGACGGUUUUGCUGUCACUUAUAGAUGGAUCCGCGCCGCAUUAGCUAGUUGGUAAGGUAACGGCUUACCAAGGCAACGAUGCGUAGCCGACCUGAGAGGGUGAUCGGCCACACUAGAACUGAGACACGGUCCUGACUCCUACGGGAGGCAGCAGUAGGGAAUCUUCCGCAAUGGGCGAAAGCCUGACGGAGCAACGCCGCGUGAGUGAUGAAGGUCUUCGGAUCGUAAAACUCUGUUAUUAGGGAAGAACAAAUGUGUAAGUAACUAUGCACGUCUUGACGGUACCUAAUCAGAAAGCCACGGCUAACUACGUG